rnacentral:rRNA from 1 species
AGUUUGAUCAUGGCUCAGAUUGAACGCUGGCGGGAUGCUUACACAUGCAAGUCGAACGGCAGCACGGACUUCGGUCUGGUGGCGAGUGGCGAACGGGUGAGUAAUGUAUCGGAACGUGCCUAGUAGUGAUAACUACGCGAAAGCGAAGCAUUACCGCAUACGGCCCUUCGGGGGAAAGCGGGGACCUUUCGGGCCCCUGCACUAUUAGAGCGGCCGAUAUCGGAUUAGCUAGUUGGUGGGGUAACGGCUCACCAAGGCGACGAUCCGUAGCUGGUUUGAGAGGACGACCAGCCACACUGGACUGGAGACACGGCCCAGACUCCUACGGGAGGCAGCAGUGGGGGAAUUCUGGACAACGGGGAAACUCCUGAUCCAGCCAUCCCGCGUGUGCGAUGAAGGCCUUCGGGUUGUAAAGCACUUUUUGGCAGGAAAGAAACGGCAUCGAUACCCCGUGCAACUGACGGCACCUGCAGAAUAAGCACCGGCUAACUACGCCAGCAGCCGCGGUAAUACGUAGGGUGCAAGCGUUAAUCGGAAUUACUGGGCGUAAAGCGUGCGCAGGCGGUUCGGAAAGAAAGAGGAAUCCCAGAGCUUAACUUUGGAACUGCAUUUUUAACUACCGAGCUAGAGUGUGUCAGAGGGAGGUGGGAAUUCGCGUGUAGUGAAAUGCGUAGAUAUGCGGAGGAACACCGAUGGCGAAGGCAGCCUCUGGGAUAACACCGACGCUCAUGCACGAAAGCGUGGGGAGCAAAACGUGAUUAGAUAACCCUGUAGCCCACGCCUUAAACGAUGCUUGACCAGCUGUUAGCCUGCCUUGCAGCGCACGUGUGAAGUUGACUGCCUGGGGAGUAUGGUCGCAAGAUUAAAACUCAAAGGAAUUGAUUGGGACCCCGCACAAGCGAUGGAUGAUGUGGAUUAACUCGAUGCAACUCGAAAACCUUACCUACCCUUGACAUGUUCGAAUCCCGAAGAGAUUUCGGGAGUGCUCGCAAGAGAACCGGACCACAGGUGCUGCAUGGCUGUCGUCAGCUCGUGUCGUGAGAUGUUAAGUUAAGUCCCGCAACGAGCGCAACCUUGUCAUUAGUUGCCACGAAAGGGCACUCUAAUGAGAUCAAGCGCGACAAACCGGAAGGUGGGGAUGACGUCAAGUCCUCAUGGCCCUUAUGGUAGGGCUUCACACGUCAUACAAUGGUCGGGACAGAGGGUCGCCAACCCGCGAGGGGAGCCAAUCCCAGAAACCCGAUCGUAGUCCGGAUCGCAGUCUGUAACUCGACUGCGUGGUCGAAUCGCUAGUAAUCGUGAUCAGCAUGUCGCGGUGAAUACGUUCCCGGGUCUUGUGUACACACCGCCCGUCACACCAUGGGAGUGGGUUUUACCAGAAGUAGUUAGCCUAACCGUAAGGAGUGGGCGAUUACCACGGUAGGAUUCAUGACUGGGGUGAAGUCGUAACAAGGUA